rnacentral:lncRNA from 1 species
AGCCUUGUGAUGAUGACAUAGCGAACUAUUCUUUCGCCUUUUACUAAAGAAUACCGUGUCAGCGUUACUAUUUUUGGCAUACGCUAGUUUUUGGAAGAGUCUUCUUAAUUGAAGGCUCUACAAUAUUAGUUUGAAUAUUUUGUUAGGCUUAAUACAUGCUUUGGUCUCUUAAUUUAUUUUCGAAUUUUAUUUUGGUGCCUUAAUUAUAAAGUGUCUCAAUUCGGUCCCUUAUGUCUUUUGUUGUUAUCUCUUUUGGUCCUAUCCGUUACAUUUUAACUGUUUGAUCUAUUUUUCAAAUAGAAAUUGUUGGAUCAUGUAGGUUUAUUGUACAGUUUGAUCUAUUUUUCAAAUAGAAACUGUUGGAUUGUUUAUUGUAGCGGUGAAUGAUUAACAUCUGAUUUUUUUGAAGCCAAAAAUAUAAUAUUCCAGAUUUUUUUAUAAAAUCAUUUCG